CUCUCCUCCAUCCUCUCUCCUCUGUCCUCUCUCCACCGUCCUCUCUCCUCUGUCCUCUCUCCUCCAUCCUCUCUUCUCUGUGACCCGGAAACCAAUGAGGUCGAGUAGUCGAGGAGUGUGUCAAUUCAUUAGUAGGCAAACAGAAGACUGUCAUCGCCCCCUCAUUAGCCUCUUUUUGGCGAGAAAGCACAAGUGUGUCCUACCGCGGAAGAGUUUUGAGAUUUGCCACACCCCCCUUUGAAUCAACUGUUGUACUGUCGGAGGAGAAAAACAUUUUAAAACGAUAUGCUACUUAUCCUGGCACAAUUAACUACAUUUGUUUUUAUCCCUUUACACAUUUAUUUUGGGAUCCACCUCUGUAAACGCAAUAUGCCUGACGACAGACGAGUGGAGAAGGAGCUUCUUAUUUCAUACAAGCACAUUUUUGUCCACGUUCACUCACAUCGCCACCUCUCCUUGAUUACUUUUGUCCUUUUUCAAAAGGAGGCGAGAGAGGAUGGAGGAGAAAGGACAGAGUUGAGCAAAUCUGAUUGAGAAAAGGCCACUGUCCUAUCCUGUCCUAUCCUGUCCUAUCCUAAUCUGGUUUUCCUUUCCUCAGGCUCAGUGCCCGCCCCUGAUUCUUUGAUUGGCACUCUUUCCCAAACUAAGCCCCGCCCGUCACCCCCACUAGGCCUGUUUCUGCCCUCUGAGGGAAUGAGGAUGGGACUGAAGGCAGCUGGAGAAGGUGUGGAGAGAUCACCAUCAGAUAACAGAAUCAAUAUCUGUAGGCCUUUUGACUACCAAGAUAAGUGCAGUACUGUGAGAGUUUGACAGUGGGAGAUAUGAUGGAUUGCACAGGAGGUUGGUGGCACCUUAAUUGGAGAGGAUGGGUUUGUGGUGAUGGCUGGAGCGGAAUAGGGGGAAUGGUAUCAAAUACAUCAAACAUGUUGUCCAUGUGUUUGAUGCCAUUCCGUUCGCUCUGUUCCAACCAUUAUUAUGAGCCAUCCUCCCCUCAGCAGCCUCUAUUGAUGGAUUGAUACAGCUGUAAGGUGUUUCAUUGCAGGGGAUUUGAUUCUGCAGUUGUCCUGAUGGUGGUGCUAUUGGAUCAGUGCAGUAUCAAGAUUGAUCAAUGAGAUCACCUCGGUUUACCCAGAUCCCAGAGAACGAGGAUCUGUCCGGCCUGUCAGGCGAGAGCCCUGGUCCGAUGACAGAGCUGAGUGAUGUCACUGAGCCAGGUCAGGAUGAUGAGUCAGAGGAGCAGCCUCCAGGGUCCUGAAGGGGAGACGCCACUCAACUGGCCAGGUCAUGAGACUUCUGGAUGGAAAGAUGGAGGGAGGAAGGAGUGAGAAACGGAACAGCCUGAGAGAGAUGGAGGGAGGGAAGAGUGAUACUAGAUGGAACAGCCUGAGAAUGAUGGAAGGAGGGAGGAGUGAAAGACGGAAGAGCCUGAGACAGAUGGAGGGAGGAUGAUGUGAGAGAUGUAACAGCUUGAGAGCGAUGGAGGGAGGAGUGAUACUAGACAGAACAGCCUGAGAGAGGUUGAAGGAGGGAGGCAUGAGAGAUGGAACAGCCUGAGGAGGGACAUGACUCAGACUCAGGAUACUCUCUUUGAUGCAUCAAGGAAUGAGGAUUACGACUAUGAGAUGAAGAAACUGCUGGCAACCAAAGCCAUGCAGAAGAAGUCGGUGGUCAGCUAAGUCCAUUCCUGCUGAGGCCGUCAAGGAGCUACACAGCAUCAGCCGACACAGCUACUAACCCUACCUGGCAAACACUGGACAACUACAACAGACCAGGAGCUAUCAGAAUUGGAAGGAAAAAGUGUGGAACAGCCUGACAGACAAGUAUCCUUGUCUUUAUCCUCCCCAAUCUCUCCUCUCCGUCUUCCUCAUCCUCUCCCUCCCCCUCUAACUUCUCUUCUUCCUUCUCCACCUCCUCCUUCCCGGUGUUUGCGUCUUCAACAAACAGACCCCAAACUUUUGUGUGUGUGUCUCUAAGAGAGUGUGUCGACAAAGAGAAAAUGUAAUGAAAUGCAAUUCCUGUGUCUGGCUUAUCUUCAAUGAAGUCAGUAUCAAAGCUCUGCUUUGAAUGUCUUCUAUCAGAGAGAUGUGAGAACACUUUGUUAUGCUUUCCGUCAACACAGUUCCUUCUGGUAAUCUUUUACUUCCCCAUCUCCCCCUGAUCUUUCCACCUUUGAUUUCCGACCUCUGACCCCUAACAGAGAGAUUUCUGACCUGCAGUAACUACUUUGAAGGCAUGUCCACGGUGAUGGCGUUGACCGCUAGCCAGCGGAGCCCCUCCACCCCAGCCUACAGAUGUCCUCCCGGAGCUCCUGAGCCAGCUGGGUCUGGGGAAGUACAUCGACGUGUUCCAACAGCAAGAGGCACAGACAGACAAACAGCUAGUGCCCCCCUGGGGUAAAGGAGUAACUGAAAUGUAUAUACACAGAGGGUUAUUUGUUGAAGUAGCCUCCAUAAACAGGAUUGACUGAGUUGUUUCCUGUGGCACAGACGCUGACUGAAAGAACAUUCUGAGUAUGUCUUGUAUAAGGGAAGUGUGGUGGAUGUGUAAGCAACAGGACUGUCAUGACCCUUUUUCUGCAGAGUGACUUGCAGACCUUCUUGACUCUGUCUGACGAGGAUCUGAAAAGAGGUGGGAGUGUCCAUGUUUGGAGCGAGAAGGACGAUGCUUUUGGCCACCUCAGGAGAAGGAUCAGAAAAAACACCAUAUAGAUCUAACCCACUUUUCCCUGACGCUUAAAUGUGAUGUAUAGAACAUCUCUCGCUCUCUCCAUCCAUCCAGACCUGAACAAAAGCAAGAGGAAACUGUCAGACGCGCCCGCUGUGAAGCCGGGCUACCUGGAAGCCGGGCUAGUGGCCAGCUCACACGAAUCAUGGACGAGGACACAGCUGCUCAGAGAAGCCACUGGUGAAUCCCACACAACAUUAGCCAACCUGGGUAGAACAGCCAGGAAGAACAUCUCUUUGAUCAGACUGGCUUUUACAUAUCCUAGCCUUGGUGGCAAACCCAACAUUGACCUUAGAUCAGAGUCGACUCUAUGUGUGUUGUACAUAAGCAUGUACAUAAACAUACAAGGGUAAAUGAGAAUGUAUAAUGAUAUUAGAGAUGAUUAUGAAACUUUUCCAAUCAAUUGGCACUUUUUUAAACCCACAACCCUGACACUGGAAACGCCAUGGUCUGCCAAGUGAGCUACACAGGACUUCAAACCAACUGACCUGAAUAAAAACCUCCCUUGAAAUGACCUGUAGAGUAACAAAGGUUGUGGAUGUCUAUGACAGUAUGUUCAGUAAAUCAACGAGGUGCAAACAAGAAAAUGGUCCACCGCUAGAGAGCACUGACAUUACAGACUGUAGACUUGUUCUGUAGAUUCAAGUCACAUUCCCCACUCCUCAUUAUUGCAUCAAUAAUGAAUUACAAGUCCAUUUCAGAAAGAAAUCAGCGACAUUAAACAGAGCUUGAUGGACAGCCAGGAGUUGGGUUGACGCUAUAUGAACACUCAGAUUAAUUAAUGGAUUAAAAAAAAUGAAUAGCCCAACGGAUUUAUUCUCGUGGUGGUAGGCCUAAUGUGAAACGCCUUUCAAUAUUGUUUGGCCUCACCUGAGUGCACACCUUAAAAGUUCUAAUCCCAUGUAUCAGCCAUUAGCAGGCGAGAAGCCAUUGCCUCUGUAUAUGAGUCGUUUCCUGUUGCAUUUAUUUAGAAUACUCCUAAUGGCCAGAUAUAAACAAUAUCGCCAGGCUAGAUUGACACGUUUUAUCCGAGCAACAUGAAAUGAUCUGGUUGUCAUUUUGAAGUGAGAACUAUCUUGUCAUUGUUUCAAUAAGGCUAUGUGCACAAGGCUUUGAUAAACAUUUAAUAUACAUGAUGGAUAUCCUACAAGCAGGGCCAUAGGAGCGAU